rnacentral:misc_RNA from 1 species
AAAAACCUAAUUAAAAAAAAACAAUCUCAGAUACAAGCAAAAUCCCUUUUAUCUAAUUCAAGAAAAUAUGCCUACAACAACCCAAAAUCCAAAUAGAAACUUCUCACAUACAAUUGAAAACCUUGUUAUAUUCAAGAAAAUAUGCCUACAUAGACCCAAAAUCCAAACAAAAACUUCUCAGACACAAUUGAAACCCUCUAUCAAAUUCAAGAAAUUAUGCCUACAGAAACCCAAAAUCCAUACAAAAACUUCUCAGACACAAGUCAAAGGAAAACCUUAUAAUCCUUUACCUCAUAAGGGGGAAAUUUGUACUCAAACAGCUCUUAAAACUGGAAACUUAAUCAAGCCCCUAAACAACCCAAAAAAACAAAGAACUUUUCAUUUUCCAAUCAGAAGAGAUACA